UACAGAGGGUGCAAGCGUUAAUCGGAAUUACUGGGCGUAAAGCGUGCGUAGACGGUUGCAUAAGUCAGAUGUGAAAGCCCCGGGCUCAACCUGGGAAUUGCAUUUGAGACUGUGUAGCUAGGGUGCGGAAGAGGGAAGCGGAAUUUCCGGUGUAGCGGUGAAAUGCGUAGAUAUGCGGAGGAACACCGAUGGCGAAGGCAAUCCCCUGGGCCUGCACUGACGCUCAUGCACGAAAAGCGUGGGGAGCAAACAGG
rnacentral:rRNA from 1 species